UUGCUAAAAUUUAAAUAAUAAAAAUAUAUAUUAUAUAUAAUUAUUUAUUUAUAUAUAAAAAUAUAAAUUAAAUAAAUUAUAUAAAUAUAAAAUAUAUGUAUUCGAGCUGUUAUCGAGCAGAACACGAGCGAGCUGACCCCAGCUCGUGUUCGGCUUGUUUAUUAAACGAGCUGGAAAAUCCAGCUCGUGUUCGGCUCGUUUACUAAACGAGCGAGCCGAUCUCGAGCUUAUUUCGAGCCGAACACGAGCUGGCCUGCGAACAGCGAGCUAGAUUGCCACCCCUAGUCUCACGUGAUAGGAUAUAUGGUAUACUCGC
rnacentral:lncRNA from 1 species